UACGUAGGUGGCAAGCGUUAUCCGGAAUUAUUGGGCGUAAAGCGCGCGUAGGCGGUUUUUUAAGUCUGAUGUGAAAGCCCACGGCUCAACCGUGGAGGGUCAUUGGAAACUGGAAAACUUGAGUGCAGAAGAGGAAAGUGGAAUUCCAUGUGUAGCGGUGAAAUGCGCAGAGAUAUGGAGGAACACCAGUGGCGAAGGCGAAUUUCUGGUCUGUAACUGACGCUGAUGUGCGAAAGCGUGGGGAUCAAACAGGAUUAGAAACCCGAGUAGUCC
rnacentral:rRNA from 1 species